rnacentral:tRNA from 3 species
GCGAGAGUGGCGGAACUGGCAGACGCGCUGGACUUAGGAUCCAGUGGGCACAGCCCGUGGGGGUUCAACUCCCCCCUCUCGCA